GAUGAACGCUGGCGGCGUGCCUAAUACAUGCAAGUCGAGCGAACAGAUAAGGAGCUUGCGCCUUUGACGUUAGCGGCGGACGGGUGAGUAACACGUGGGUAACCUACCUAUAAGACUGGGAUAACUUCGGGAAACCGGAGCUAAUACCGGAUAACAUUUGGAACCGCAUGGUUCUAAAGUGAAAGGUGGCUUUGCUAUCAGUUAUAGAUGGACCCGCGCCGGAUUAGCUAGUUGGUAAGGUAACGGCUUACCAAGGCAACGAUACGUAGCCGACCUGAGAGGGUGAUCGGCCACACUGGAACUGAGACACGGUCCAGACUCCUACGGGAGGCAGCAGUAGGGAAUCUUCCGCAAUGGGCGAAAGCCUGACGGAGCAACGCCGCGUGAGUGAAGAAGGGUUUCGGCUCGUAAAACUCUGUUAUUAGGGAAGAACAAAUGUGUAAGUAACUGUGCACGUCUUGACGGUACCUAAUCAGAAAGCCACGGCUAACUACGUG
rnacentral:rRNA from 1 species